GGACAUUGAUGAAGUCCAGAAGAAGUUCAGAGUAAAGAGAUUCGGAGAAUAGUCGAUCACUGUAGAAAAUCGGCUGAUAAUGAAGCUCAGAAAGCGUUUGGAGCAGCCCAGUAGAUGAAUGGAGGAGCUCAUUAUCGGAGAAGUCCAGAUAGUAUUAUGGAAGCUUGGACAGUUAGGGGAGUUCAGAAAGACGUCGCACAAGGUCGGA
rnacentral:lncRNA from 1 species